CCUACGGGAGACAGCAGUGAGGAAUAUUGGUCAAUGGACGAGAGUCUGAACCAGCCAAGUAGCGUGAAGGAUGACUGCCCUAUGGGUUGUAAACUUCUUUUAUAUGGGAAUAAAAUGUUCCACGUGUGGGAUUUUGUAUGUACCAUAUGAAUAAGGAUCGGCUAACUCCGUGCCAGCAGCCGCGGUAAUACGGAGGAUCCGAGCGUUAUCCGGAUUUCUUGGGUUUAAAGGGAGCGUAGGUGGAUUGUUAAGUCAGUUGUGAAAGUGUGCGGCUCAACCGUAAAAUUGCAGUUGAAACUGGCAGUCUUGAGUACAGUAGAGGUGGGCGGAAUUCGUGGUGUAGCGGUGAAAUGCUUAGAUAUCACGAAGAACUCCGAUUGCGAAGGCAGCUCACUGGACUGCAACUGACACUGAGGCUCGAAAGUGUGGGUAUCAAACAGGAUUAGAUACCCCUGUAGUC
rnacentral:rRNA from 1 species